UGUUAAACAUUUUAUCCAUUUCUACUGUUAAAAGUUGACGCCGUUAAUGGAAUAACCAGACAGUUUCACGUGACAUGCUACGUAUAACUCAUGUUGAUGUACAUAGCCUAGUUUUUAAGAGUAGAAAUUGAUGACAUUUUUAAUA
rfam:Gossypium arboreum cultivar AKA8401 contig_3039_5, whole genome shotgun sequence.